UGGGGAAUUUUGGACAAUGGGCGCAAGCCUGAUCCAGCCAUGCCGCGUGCGGGAAGAAGGCCUUCGGGUUGUAAACCGCUUUUGUCAGGGAAGAAAUCUUCUGGGUUAAUACCUCGGGAGGAUGACGGUACCUGAAGAAUAAGCACCGGCUAACUACGUGCCAGCAGCCGCGGUAAUACGUAGGGUGCGAGCGUUAAUCGGAAUUACUGGGCGUAAAGCGUGCGCAGGCGGUCUUGCAAGACAGGUGUGAAAUCCCCGGGCUUAACCUGGGAACUGCACUUGUGACUGCAAGGCUGGAGUACGGCAGAGGGGGAUGGAAUUCCGCGUGUAGCAGUGAAAUGCGUAGAUAUGCGGAGGAACACCGAUGGCGAAGGCAAUCCCCUGGGCCUGUACUGACGCUCAUGCACGAAAGCGUGGGGAGCAAACAGGAUUAGAUACCCUGGUAGUCCACGCCCUAAACGAUGUCAACUGGUUGUUGGACGGCUUGCUGUUCAGUAACGAAGCUAACGCGUGAAGUGACCGCCU
rnacentral:rRNA from 1 species